AGCCUUUUAUUCUUUUUCCUAACCUCAGUCCCCACUUUCACAUCCUGUGACCUGCAGAGCUGCAGGGCCCCACCCUGCUGGGCUGGUCCCAGGCCCUGGGAGAGCAAUCAAUGCAGGAAGCCCAAAACCUGGCUGGCCUUCACCAUUUUCAAAUAAGACCGUUUGCUUCUAACCUUGGUUUCCUGAAUCAGCCCUUUGUGAUGGAAACUUUUCACAGUGCGGAAGGCAGACACAGGGGACAAAGUUGGGUUUCUAGCUGAGGCGGGGGUCUUGGCUCAGAAGCAAGGGAAACAGCUGAUACCUCUGAACCACCUCCUCCCUUCCUCCCUGAAGGCCAGACUCCACCUGGGAUGGGGCGAGGGCCUCCACUGCUGCUGCAUAAAUCAGGAGGAACUGGGAGCUGCCUGGGAAACCAGGGCCAGGUUUGGAGCAGAACGUUGUAUGAUGUGGUUCCUAGUUUUUAUUUCCACGAAUGCUAUAAUAUGUUGUCCUACCGAGCUAUUUUUAUUGAAUGAAAAGAUUUUAAAAAAGCAAACCUCUACAAAACCAACAGCCCUCUGUUACAGGGAAGGACAAGGUGAACUUUUCACUUCCUUCCUCACAGCCUAUCAGCUCAUCUGCGGUUUGGUGUCACCCACACUUCCGUGCUAUAUUCAAUCUCAAUUUUUGCCUCCUUGUUUUUGAAACUGCAAGAGCAAGGCUUUUAAACUCAUGUUGCUCCUGCAUGUUGCAUGAGACUUGCUAAAGAGUCUUUUUAGUGAUUUGUCACAGCUGAUUGCAGAGAGGCUAGAUGCCAGCCUGGAGGCAGAGCCUCCAGCAGGAACCAACCACAGUGAACCAGCCAUGGUGGCAUCUUGAUCUUGGGCUUCUGGACUUCAAAACUAUGAGGUCUGAAUCCAAUUAUUCAGCAAAAAGCAGCAUGAGAUCACCUUCCAACAUCUCUCCAGCUCCUUUGGGGUAGGUGAAAAGGGCUUUCCGUGGUGGGGCAAGGUCUGAGACACUGAAACCAGAUCCAGCAACAGAACUUCCACUGACCCCACCAGCUGAGGAGGAGGAUGAAGAGGCAGCCAUUUCCUCUCCAGUAGAAUUCUCACUUCACUACAGAGAAAGAAAAACAGCGAUUGGCAAGUUUAUGGAAGUGAGACUGACAACAUUUCAUUCCAGCUACCGUGAAAGCCAGCAUACAGUUUAGUCAAGAAUUAGUUCCAAAUUUUUCUACCCUCUGUACUCCCACGAUCUUUUAUGGCUCCUUGGGCCAAAACGUCACUCAGGAUUUUAAGUGAAAAUAUGUUUAUUCUUAGUUUUUCUACAUAAAACACUACUUCCUACCAUUAGCAAACUGUUUAUGUCAUUUGGGAUUGACUGUGGGUGAUUUAUGGGUUAUGAAAGGGUGAUAUGGCAGUGCCAAGGUAGCAAUUUGACUGAGGAAAUAAAUUAUAUGAGGAUAAAACAA